rnacentral:rRNA from 1 species
UGUGUAGGCGGUUGUUUAAGUUUGGUGUGAAAUCUCCCGGCUCAACCGGGAGGGUGCGCCGAAUACUGAGCGACUAGAGUGCGGGAGAGGAGAGUGGAAUUCCUGGUGUAGCGGUGAAAUGCGUAGAUAUCAGGAGGAACACCGGUGGUGCAGACGGCUCUCUGGACCGCGACUGACGCUGAGACACGAAAGCGUGGGUAGCAAACAGGAUUAGAUACCCUGGUAGUCCACGCCCUAAACGAUGCAUAUUUGGUGUGGGUCAUUCAGUUGAUCCGUGCCAGAGCUAACGCGUUAAAUAUGCCGCCUGGGGAGUACAGUCGCAAGGCUGAA